UACGGAGGGUGCAAGCGUUAUCCGGAUUCACUGGGUUUAAAGGGUGCGUAGGCGGGCUAGUAAGUCCGUGGUGAAAUCUCCAAGCUUAACUUGGAAACUGCCAUGGAUACUAUUGGUCUUGAAUGUUGUGGAGGUUAGCGGAAUAUGGUCAUGUAGCGGUGAAAUGCAUAGAUAUGACAUAGAACACCAAUUGCGAAGGCAGCUAGGCUACACAAAUA
rnacentral:rRNA from 1 species